GGGCACAUUUAUCCAGCAGAGAUGUUUGCAACGCCUCUUCCCCUGUUCCAACAUUACCCGGACAGAUACAUGUUCCCGGCCGUGCUGGUGACCCUGAGACCACCUGCACCAGGAGCCUUCAGGGAACACGUCGGAUUUGUUCCCUUUCCACCAGGAGCACUGUCCCAUCCAUUGGAGGCUCAUGAAUGGCAAAUCCAUGUUCUGCAUUAUAGUCCGUACCCCUCAUAUGCAAGGAAGAGAGAUGAGCAUUCACCAUUCACACAGUCACCGUGAAGAUCGGAGCUUUCUCCACAAGUCACAAGAGUCCCAGUUUGUGGUAUCCAGCAAGCAGAUGCUGUACCUGUUGACACUCUUUCCUCAAGAAACGCAGAUGAGAACAGAUUUGGUUUCACGUCGACUGAUACCACAUCAUUUGUACAAGACAUGCCUUUGUUUAUUCCUUUUCAAAAAUAUGUUUCCAUAUUCUUCUUCUGUUUCUUGUAGCAUCUACCUGUUCAUUACUGUGACAAUUUUGUAUUCUUGAUUUUCAGAAGAUAAAUCUGAAAUCAAUGCUGUCUGUUCCAGUAAAGGCAACAGUUUGACAUUUCUUUUUACACUACAAUCAUUUUAUUACUGCAUCGAAUAUAGUAUCCGGCUUCAUUUGUUGUUGCACAGAUAUUACAUUUGACAGGUUUGAAAGCUGAACGUUAACUGCGGUUAUGCUUAAUCUUUUUGCCUGU